rnacentral:rRNA from 1 species
AGAGUUGAUCCUGGCUUAGGAUGAACGCUAGCGACAGGCUAACACAUGCAAGUCGAGGGCAGCAUAAAAGUAGCAAUACUUGGUGGCGACCGGCGCACGGGUGAGUAACGCGUAUGCAACCUACCUAUCAGAGGGAAUAACCCGGCGAAAGUCGGACUAAUACCGCAUAAAACAGGGGCACCGCAUGGUGAUAUUUGUUAAAGAAAUUCGCUGAUAGAUGGGCAUGCGUUCCAUUAGGUAGUUGGUGAGGUAACGGCUCACCAAGCCGACGAUGGAUAGGGGAACUGAGAGGUUGGUCCCCCACACUGGUACUGAGACACGGACCAGACUCCUACGGGAGGCAGCAGUGAGGAAUAUUGGUCAAUGGGCGGGAGCCUGAACCAGCCAAGUCGCCGUGAAGGAAGAAGGAUCUAUGGUUCGUAAACUUCUUUUGCAGGGGGAUAAAGUGCAGGACGUGUCCUGUUUUGUAUGUACCCUGAGAAUAAGGAUCGGCUAACUCCGUGCCAGCCGCCGC